GAAAUGCGAUAAGUAAUGUGAAUUGCAGAAUUCAGUGAAUCAUCGAAUCUUUGAACGCACAUUGCGCCCGCCAGUAUUCUGGCGGGCAUGCCUGUUCGAGCGUCAUUUCAACCACCAAGCCCCCGGCUUGUGUUGGGGACCUGCGGCUGCCCGCAGGCCCUGGAAAACAGUGGCGGGCUCGCUGUCACACCGAGCGUAGUAGCAUACAUUCUCGCUCAGGGCGUGCUGCGGGUUCCGGCCGUUAAACGACCUUCAUAACCCAAGGUUGACCUCGGAUCAGGUAGGAAGACCCGCUGAACUUAAGC
rnacentral:misc_RNA from 1 species